UCGAACGAUGAUCCCAGCUUGCUGGGGGAUUAGUGGCGAACGGGUGAGUAACACGUGAGUAACCUGCCCUUAACUCUGGGAUAAGCCUGGGAAACUGGGUCUAAUACCGGAUAUGACUCCUCAUCGCAUGGUGGGGGGUGGAAAGCUUUAUUGUGGUUUUGGAUGGACUCGCGGCCUAUCAGCUUGUUGGUGAGGUAAUGGCUCACCAAGGCGACGACGGGUAGCCGGCCUGAGAGGGUGACCGGCCACACUGGGACUGAGACACGGCCCAGACUCCUACGGGAGGCAGCAGUGGGGAAUAUUGCACAAUGGGCGAAAGCCUGAUGCAGCGACGCCGCGUGAGGGAUGACGGCCUUCGGGUUGUAAACCUCUUUCAGUAGGGAAGAAGCGAAAGUGACGGUACCUGCAGAAGAAGCGCCGGCUAACUACGUGCCAGCAGCCGCGGUAAUACGUAGGGCGCAAGCGUUAUCCGGAAUUAUUGGGCGUAAAGAGCUCGUAGGCGGUUUGUCGCGUCUGCCGUGAAAGUCCGGGGCUCAACUCCGGAUCUGCGGUGGGUACGGGCAGACUAGAGUGAUGUAGGGGAGACUGGAAUUCCUGGUGUAGCGGUGAAAUGCGCAGAUAUCAGGAGGAACACCGAUGGCGAAGGCAGGUCUCUGGGCAUUAACUGACGCUGAGGAGCGAAAGCAUGGGGAGCGAACAGGAUUAGAUACCCUGGUAGUCCAUGCCGUAAACGUUGGGCACUAGGUGUGGGGGACAUUCCACGUUUUCCGCGCCGUAGCUAACGCAUUAAGUGCCCCGCCUGGGGAGUACGGCCGCAA
rnacentral:rRNA from 1 species